rnacentral:rRNA from 1 species
UACGUAGGGCGCAAGCGUUAUCCGGAAUUAUUGGGCGUAAAGAGCGUGUAGGCGGCCAGGUAGGUCUGCUGUGAAAACUCGAGGCUCAACCUCGAGACGUCGGCGGAAACCAUCUGGCUAGAGUCCGGAAGAGGAGAGUGGAAUUCCUGGUGUAGCGGUGAAAUGCGCAGAUAUCAGGAAGAACACCAAUGGCGAAAGCAGCUCUCUGGGACGGUACUGACGCUGAGACGCGAAAGCGUGGGGAGCGAACAGG